rnacentral:rRNA from 1 species
GAUGAACGCUGGCGGCGUGCCUAAUACAUGCAAGUCGAGCGAACAGACGAGGAGCUUGCUCCUCUGACGUUAGCGGCGGACGGGUGAGUAACACGUGGAUAACCUACCUAUAAGACUGGGAUAACUUCGGGAAACCGGAGCUAAUACCGGAUAAUAUAUUGAACCGCAUGGUGCAAUAGUGAAAGACGGUUUUGCUGUCACUUAUAGAUGGAUCCCGGCCGCAUUAGCUAGUUGGUAAGAUAACGGCUUACCAAGGCGACGAUGCGUAGCCGACCUGAUAGGGGGAUCGGCCACACUGGAACGGAGACACGGUCCAGACUCCUACGGGAGGCAGCAGUAGGGAAUCGUCCGCAAUGGGCGAAAGCAUGACGGAGCAACGCCGAGUGAGUGAUGAAGGUCUUCGGAUCGUAAAACUCUGUUAUUAGGUAAGAACAAAUGUGUAAGGAACUAUGCACGUCUUGACGGUACCGAAUCAGAAAGCCACGGCUAACUACGUG